rnacentral:lncRNA from 1 species
GUACAAGACAAUGAUGGUCUAUUUGAUACCAAUUCUUGAAGUUUUUGAUCAAAAAGGUUAAAUUGAUUAAAUUCAUAUCAAAUUAUUUUGAUAAAUUAUUUUGAAUUGAUACCAAUGGAUUAUGCCAAGCAAAUCAUAGAGAGAUUUUCUAUUUAAAUUCAAAUCUUUCUUUUCUUAAGAAAUAUCACUCAAUUAAGUUCAGAAAAGCUAUGAAAUCUUUCUAAUUUGUCUGAAACAUCAUAUUAAAAGAAUAGCUAUGCAAAAUCAAAUUUGAAAUAAAGAUAUUUUUUUAUUUUUGUCAAAGAUAGAUCAAUGAAAUAUAAGAUAAAUAGUAAGUUGUCUAAUACCAAUUGAAUAAAAUUGAAGACUUCUUUAAAUAUUUCACUUUAAAAAUAAAUGACAGCUUUCUUGAAAUAUUUUACUUGAUAUCAAUUUCAAAAGAUUCAAAAAAAAUAUAUUUUAAAUUUUAUUUUUGAAAAUAAUCAAUU